rnacentral:rRNA from 1 species
UACGUAGGGUGCGAGCGUUGUCCGGAAUUAUUGGGCGUAAAGGGCUCGUAGGCGGUUUGUCGCGUCGUGAGUGAAAACCAUGAGCUUAACUCAUGGCUUGCUUUCGAUACGGGCAGACUAGAGGUAUGCAGGGGAGAACGGAAUUCCUGGUGUAGCGGUGAAAUGCGCAGAUAUCAGGAGGAACACCGGUGGCGAAGGCGGUUCUCUGGGCAUUACCUGACGCUGAGGAGCGAAAGCGUGGGGAGCGAACAGG